AUUGAACGCUGGCGGCAUGCCUUACACAUGCAAGUCGAACGGCAGCACGGGAGCAAUCCUGGUGGCGAGUGGCGAACGGGUGAGUAAUAUAUCGGAACGUGCCCAGUCGUGGGGGAUAACGCAGCGAAAGCUGUGCUAAUACCGCAUACGAUCUAUGGAUGAAAGCGGGGGAUCGCAAGACCUCGCGCGAUUGGAGCGGCCGAUAUCAGAUUAGCUAGUUGGCGAGGUAAAGGCUCACCAAGGCGACGAUCUGUAGCUGGUCUGAGAGGACGACCAGCCACACUGGAACUGAGACACGGUCCAGACUCCUACGGGAGGCAGCAGUGGGGAAUUUUGGACAAUGGGCGAAAGCCUGAUCCAGCAAUGCCGCGUGCAGGAUGAAGGCCUUCGGGUUGUAAACUGCUUUUGUACGGAACGAAACGGUGAGCUCUAAUACAGUUUGCUAAUGACGGUACCGUAAGAAUAAGCACCGGCUAACUACGUGCCAGCCGCCGCAGUAACAC
rnacentral:rRNA from 1 species